rnacentral:rRNA from 1 species
CCGCAGGGAAACCGAGUCUUAACUGGGCGUUAAGUUGCAGGGUAUAGACCCGAAACCCGGUGAUCUAGCCAUGGGCAGGUUGAAGGUUGGGUAACACUAACUGGAGGACCGAACCGACUAAUGUUGAAAAAUUAGCGGAUGACUUGUGGCUGGGGGUGAAAGGCCAAUCAAACCGGGAGAUAGCUGGUUCUCCCCGAAAGCUAUUUAGGUAGCGCCUCGUGAACUCAUCUUCGGGGGUAGAGCACUGUUUCGGCUAGGGGGUCAUCCCGACUUACCAACCCG